CGGCAAUUAAAGAACGGAAUUCCUCCUUGAACCUAAUUCACUCUCCUUUGUGGGCAGUUAUUCGUGAGUCACACGAACCAUCCAGAAAGAACAGGUGGCGAGUUCAUCAACCCUAAUGUAGUAAUGUAGUAUCGGGGAGAAGGGACUAAGAAGAAACGUCGAGCCAACUAUAGACAAUGUCGCGAGAGCCGAGGCGCUGUCGGCUCCAUCAAUGCGUUAUCGGGUCCUUCAAAUAAAUAACUUCGCCGAAAAGACCUACGUGACCCUGGCUACGAGCGUCUGCGGAACACGUGUGCGGUGGGCCUAGCAAAAGACACAAGAAUGCUGCAACGGCCAGAGAGGCAGUUGAGAAGCGGAGUGCGAGUUGAGCGGACACGGAGUGUGCAUCGACGUGCGCGAUAUUGUAGUCGGUCCUCUUGUAUUUGAAUAUCACUUAUUAAAAUACAUUAAACUUUAAACUCUA